rnacentral:rRNA from 1 species
GAUGAACGCUGGCGGCAGGCUUAACACAUGCAAGUCGAGCGGGGUGAUGGUGCUUGCACUAUCACUUAGCGGCGGACGGGUGAGUAAUGCUUAGGAAUCUGCCUAUUAGUGGGGGACAACAUUUCGAAAGGAAUGCUAAUACCGCAUACGUCCUACGGGAGAAAGCAGGGGAUCUUCGGACCUUGCGCUAAUAGAUGAGCCUAAGUCGGAUUAGCUAGUUGGGGGGGUAAAGGCCUACCAAGGCGACGAUCUGUAGCGGGUCUGAGAGGAUGAUCCGCCACACUGGGACUGAGACACGGCCCAGACUCCUACGGGAGGCAGCAGUGGGGAAUAUUGGACAAUGGGCGGAAGCCUGAUCCAGCCAUGCCGCGUGUGUGAAGAAGGCCUUAUGGUUGUAAAGCACUUUAAGCGAGGAGGAGGCUACUUUAGUUAAUACCUAGAGAUAGUGGACGUUACUCGCAGAAUAAGCACCGGCUAACUCUGUGCCAGCCGCCGCCGUAAAAC